GGAGUACUCCCUCCGUCCGGAAAUACUUGUCCUCGAAAUGGUUGUAUCUAGACUUAUUUUAGUUAUAGAUACAUCCAUUUCAUCAAUUUUUAGGACAACUAUUUCCGGACGGAGGGAGUACAUG
rfam:Triticum aestivum genome assembly, contig: Triticum_aestivum_CS42_TGACv1_scaffold_640932_T_7BS-0.183216_7BL-0.098617